rnacentral:rRNA from 1 species
UGGAGAAAAGCAGGGGAUCGCAAGACCUUGCGCUAAAGGAGCGGCCGAUGUCUGAUUAGCUAGUUGGUGGGGUAAAGGCUUACCAAGGCAACGAUCAGUAGUUGGUCUGAGAGGACGGCCAACCACACUGGGACUGAGACACGGCCCAGACUCCUACGGGAGGCAGCAGUGGGGAAUUUUGGACAAUGGGCGAAAGCCUGAUCCAGCCAUGCCGCGUGAGUGAAGAAGGCCUUCGGGUUGUAAAGCUCUUUUAGUCGGAAAGAAAGAGUUGCAAUGAAUAAUUGUGAUUUAUGACGGUACCGACAGAAAAAGCACCGGCUAACUACGUGCCAGCAGCCGCGGUAAUACGUAGGGUGCGAGCGUUAAUCGGAAUUACUGGGCGUAAAGGGUGCGCAGGCGGUCUUGCAAGUCAGAUGUGAAAGCCCCGGGCUUAACCUGGGAAUUGCGUUUGAAACUACAAGGCUAGA